rnacentral:rRNA from 1 species
GCAAUGCCGCGUGUGUGAAGAAGGCCCCGGGUUGUAAAGCACUUUUGUCCGGAAAGAAAUCCUUGGCUCUAAUACAGUCGGGGGAUGACGGUACCGGAAGAAUAAGCACCGGCUAACUACGUGCCAGCAGCCGCGGUAAUACGUAGGGUGCGAGCGUUAAUCGGAAUUACUGGGCGUAAAGCGUGCGCAGGCGGUUUGCUAAGACCGAUGUGAAAUCCCCGGGCUCAACCUGGGAACUGCAUUGGUGACUGGCAGGCUAGAGUAUGGCAGAGGGGGGUAGAAUUCCACGUGUAGCAGUGAAAUGCGUAGAGAUGUGGAGGAAUACCGAUGGCGAAGGCAGCCCCCUGGGCCAAUACUGACGCUCAUGCACGAAAGCGUGGGGAGCAAACAGGAUUAGAUACCCUGGUAGUCCACGCCCUAAACGAUGUCAACUAGUUGUUGGGGAUUCAUUUCCUUAGUAACGUAGCUAACGCGUGAAGUUGACCGCCUGGGGAGUACGGUCGCAAGAUUAAAACUCAAAGGAAUUGACGGGGACCCGCACAAGCGGUGGAUGAUGUGGAUUAAUUCGAUGCAACGCGAAAAACCUUACCUACCCUUGACAUGGUCGGAAUCCUGCUGA